rnacentral:rRNA from 1 species
ACGGGUGAGUAACACGUGACUAACCUACCCUCGAGUGUGGAAUAACAUCGGGAAACCGAUGCUAAUACCGCAUAACAUCGCAAGAUCAAAGGAGCAAUCCGCUUUAGGAGGGGGUCGCGGCAGAUUAGCUAGUUGGCGGGGUAAUGGCCCACCAAGGCGGUGAUCUGUAUCCGGCCUGAGAGGGCGCACGGACACACUGGAACUGAAACACGGUCCAGACUCCUACGGGAGGCAGCAGUGGGGAAUUUUGCGCAAUGGGGGAAACCCUGACGCAGCAACGCCGCGUGGAGGAUGAAGUCUCUUGGGACGUAAACUCCUUUCGAUUGGGAAGAUUAUGACGGUACCAAUAGAAGAAGCCCCGGCUAACUUCGUGCCACGGGGUAGUA